ACCAUCUAAUCACGAAAUCAAUGAUCUAUGAUCUUCGUUAACUAAAUUGACCUCGCUAAUGAAGACCUCGCUAACGAAACGUCCAUGUACCAAAUCGACUCACCUCGCACAUCCUCUUCUCUUCGCCGCCCCAACCACUCUGCCCCACCUCCCUCCUUCACGCCGCUCGGUCCGCCACUCCUCGCCCCGCCUCCCCUUCACGCCGCUCGGUCCGCCAUUCCUCGCCCCACCUCUCCUUCACGCCGUCGCCCUCACCCGUCGCUCAACCCCACCUUCCCUUCUCGAAGCCGGCUGCUCGGCCCACCCGCACCCCUCCGCCCUUCUUCGGACGGGAGUUGCGCCAGCCAACUCUUCCUCAAUUGGCAAUGACUCAGCCAUACCAAGGUCGAUGGGGCCUCGUCCGUGGUGUUAGUGGAGCAAGGUAAUGGGAUUUUCGGCUGCUGGGUGUGAUUAGUGGAGGAAGUUCUUGCAUUGUCUGAGAUUAGGAAUGGGAAAAUAAAUUUUCUGUCCGUGCCUCAUAAGCUACAUCAGAAGAUUGCAAUUUCUAAAUUAAGAUAUUUCCUAGCCAUCCAGGUGCCAUCUUCUGAUGAUGUUCUAAUCAUGAAAGUACACACAACUAUAAUUGAGAGUUUAUCCAGACCGUCGAACCUCGAGCAAGCGGUCAUCACCCACAUCGCCUGACCUCGAGCGAGCGGCUGCCGCCGACAUCGAACAAGAGUGCAAGACGACCGUAACGUCCAGCUGCAGCCACGAGUAUUUUUGUCACCCACCGCUGCCUUUACUAGACAUUGUUGAAACUACAUUGUUGUUUCCAACUCUGAAAAUAGCAGGCCAUGUUUGAUUAAAGUAGGAGCUUGAGCGAUGGAGUAUGAAGGCACCGUCGUACUAUUGUGGUGAUUGGGUUGCCGUCAUGAUUCAUAGAGGAUAAGCACCAGCGACGAGGAACUGGGAAGGAGAGGUUGUUACUUGAGAUGGAUGGUGGUAGCGGCUUGCAAUUCACAUGGAUGGGGUGGAGAAUAGCAUGGAUAAAUCUUCAAAUCCAACUAGGCAGCACUUCAUAAUGAAUGGCUACGACGGCGACAGAAUGGAGAAGCUUAGUGCGUUCAGUAAGAUGGAUGUGUGGUAUGUGGAGUGAAGAUGCAUCUAGCAUCAGCUUCUUACUUAUUGAGGACACUUUUACCUCGUGGCGCUACCGGCGCCCAAAUAUAUCAUUUCUCUUGAUUAUACAGUGAAGAUUAUCACCUGAAGGGAAAACCUAACAGCAUUCGAUGCAAUGAACUGAAUAAGGGGGAGGUGCUCAAGGCAACAAAAGGUAGAAGAAUAUACCAAUAUACAAACUGACCUAUUAGGAGUGGCUUCACAAAAACUAAGGUCUAAAAAGUUUGAAUGAUGCACAUUAAUGGAGUUUUUUUUAUUCACUUAAUUCCAAGAUAAAUCGGAAGACUUGCUACGCUGUUACCAAAGCCCAUUAGCAGCAAUGCAAUGCUUUUGAUUUACAGCAAAGUUAUACAGCCAAUGAAACUGGGUUUCCUUCUCGUCGAUGCUUUUUUUUGGAACAAGGGGACGGGUCCAGAAGGACCCAGAGAGAUUUUCAUUAAGUCAAAGUGGUGGGAAUAUAAAGCUCAUCCAAGGACACUACAAAACAAACCUUAACCUUUCUCCCAACCCAAUAUAUUUGGCGAUAUCUAUGUCUUUGUGAUAUUUGUGGAGGCUGCUUAUCUCACAAUUUUUUCUAUCUAUCCCACCUACAAAAAUAGGUUGUACAAUAUUAAUUUAAUCGAACAACAUUGAAA